UACGUAGGGCGCGAGCGUUGUCCGGAAUCACUGGGCGUAAAGGGCUCGUAGGCGGUCCGUCGCGUCGGCUGUGAAAGCCCGGGGCUCAACCCCGGGUGUGCAGUGGGUACGGGCAGGCUGGAGUGCAGUAGGGGAGACUGGAAUUCCUGGUGUAGCGGUGAAAUGCGCAGAUAUCAGGAGGAACACCGAUGGCGAAGGCAGGUCUCUGGGCUGUUACUGACGCUGAGGAGCGAAAGCAUGGGGAGCGAACAGG
rnacentral:rRNA from 1 species